UUUUUUCUGACUGGUGACUAACUUGCAUUCAUGACAUAGCAAUUGAAAAACAUUUUCUCAGUAGCCAGGCAAAAGUAGAAAAACCCAUGAUGACGAAAGCACUAUUAUUUGAAACAAAAAAUGCAACCAUAUAGACCAGGAUACCAUCGACCAACAAAUGAAGACUCGGCAAAGAUGGCAUGCAAAAGGUAGUGCUAACUCAGCUAUGUGUAGCGUAGAUCAUGCGGUACAUGUGGUUGUUUCAUAGAAUUUUAAGAACUUAGCUGUUAAUAUAUGAAAAAUAUACAUGGUUAAUAUAGUUAAGACCUUUUAGGUGCAAAAAUUACAAUAAUCUGAACAUUGAGUAAGCAAGAUUGUAAGCCAUAUGUGAUUUGAGUGGUAGCACAAAGCUUGCAUCUUGGUCGUUCCUUCUCUCCCUUCCCUGUUUUUACUCUGUCACAAACAUUUGGAAAUUUUAACAUUUGCAUGUAGUUUCUGAACUGAACUUCUUGUAGGUAGACCAUCUUGUUGUUGUCUAUUCUAGAUGUGUACAAUAGCAAGAAAAAAAAUCAUAGUAAUGUACUACAUUACAAUACAGUCAGAUCUAAGAACCGGUAUCCUGCAUUGCACUAUCAUCAAAAUAGCCGCUUCCUUCCUUGAUCAAAAUCAUGUUGCCUACAAACAAAUAGUUCAGGUAGUACAACAGCAAAUGAGUUCCUACCUUCCUAGGCAACUAUGACGCAAACUUGUUAGGACUGCUUUCAUAUGCAACUCUGAUGUUCCAUUCAUCUUUGGAACUGCUAAUCUAGUUCUAGUUUGCAUCAAAUUGCACCAAGCUCUCACGACAAUUACACAGCCUAGGGAAUUCUUCUAGGUUAGAUCAACAAUAACUUCAUGCCAUGCACCCUUUGAAGGGAAGAAAACUGACCAACCUGAAGUUGAAAAGCUACAAUGUUUGCCAGUAACAUGCAGUGAGAAUCCAUCCAUCUCGUGCGACCCAGAGGGGCCCUUGUUUACAAAUUUUCUCAUCUUCACCCUACAAUAAAGUUCUUCCACAGUUAUUCCAAAUUUUUAUUUCCUAAAAAAGAAAGCAAAUAGCUUCAAAGGCAAAGAAAAGCAGAAAAUAUCCAAUCGGAUUAGUCACUUGGCAAUAAAAACAUCUUGCCUGGUAUGUGGUGGGUGAAGGGGUUUCCUGACCAAGUUAAAUCGACAACAUGGCACCAGCACCUCGAAAAAUCGUUUGCAUAGUUUUGAGACCCUUGCUCUGGAGCAUUACCUCCUAUGCUUGUACGACAAUCAUUCGAUCAAUGAAUGAAACAAUGGAGCAUAUAUCUAGAAGUGUACAAUAUCAGGUGCAUGUAAAUGCAAACUAAUGGAAAAUAGAAAUGGGAUGAUGAAGCAAUGGGGUGCAUAUAAACAAUUGCAUCCUGGUUCCUGUGCACGGUUGCAAUCUGUUAGGUAUAUCUCAUAAAAAAUCAAGUUCUUAUACCAACUUCUCCGUAGCAGAUUAGAGCACAAUAGUGCAUUGAGAAGAGAAAAUAAGUGGAAUAAAUAAGUAAACCACUAAUGCUUACCAGCCUUGUGAUGUUACUCAGUCCUCUGUGUUGGUCGGGGAUAGAUCAAACAGACGCUAAUUUUUCUGGGUUUUGAAAUCCACUGAACUUACAACAAUCAAAGAAGGCUCACCGUGGACUGAGAAGAUUGCCUUCUAUUUAUCUGUAGCCUGGCCAGCUUGAGGAAAGUUUACAUGAGGAUAAAUGGAGCAUGACCUGUUCAGUAUUUGGAGGAGUAUAUUCUACAAGGAUACACAUUCAAGAUUUGUGAGGACAACACUUUAAGCCUACCGCAAAAGAAAUCUUCAGCAUUAAAACCAUGCAAAUUAAUGGUGGAUACACCAAUUAUUUUGGCCAACCGUAUCUACUGUAGGGAUUGGAAUUAUUUAAAUUAAACCCAAAAACAGCGAUAAGAAAAAAUUAAUCAAGAUUAUCAUUUCAAGGCUAUAGAACUACAACUAAAAACAACCGGUGUACAACUUGCGUUAGAAUCAUAUAUACCUAAGAGAUUCAUCCCCACUAACCUAUUUAUCUUAACUAGUACAAAUGCCCGUGCGUUGCACCGGGCAAAAAAUGAAAUAUAACCUGCUCCACGUGCCAUUAUGCAAUAUUUUUUAAUCCAAUUUUUGCAAACGUCAGAAAUAAGGUUAAGUUUUUUAAAAUCAAUGUAUUAUUUUUUAAUUUAUACAUGGC
rnacentral:lncRNA from 1 species